GAUGGCUCAGGACGAACGCUGGCGGCGCGCUUAACACAUGCAAGUCGAGCGAGAACCUGGCCUUCGGGCCUGGGAAAGCGGCGAACGGGUGAGUAACACGUGGGGUAACCCACCCUUGGUACCGGGAUAGCCCGGGGAAACCCGGAUUAAUACCGGAUGGCCCAACAGCUCUUCGGGGCGGUUGGAAAAGGUAGCUUCGGCCUCCGACCAAGGACGGGCCCGCGGCGGAUUAGCUUGUUGGUGAGGUAACGGCCCACCAAGGCGACGAUCCGUAGCUGGUCUGAGAGGACGAUCAGCCACACUGGGACUGAGACACGGCCCAGACUCC
rnacentral:rRNA from 1 species